UACGGAGGAUCCGAGCGUUAUCCGGAUUUAUUGGGUUUAAAGGGAGCGUAGGCGGACGCUUAAGUCAGUUGUGAAAGUUUGCGGCUCAACCGUAAAAUUGCAGUUGAUACUGGGUGUCUUGAGUACAGUAGAGGCAGGCGGAAUUCGUGGUGUAGCGGUGAAAUGCUUAGAUAUCACGAAGAACUCCGAUUGCGAAGGCAGCCUGCUGGACUGUAACUGACGCUGAUGCUCGAAAGUGUGGGUAUCAAACAGGAUUAGAUACCCCGGCCGGCUGACUGACU
rnacentral:rRNA from 1 species